rnacentral:rRNA from 1 species
UACGGAGGGAGCUAGCGUUGUUCGGAAUUACUGGGCGUAAAGCGCACGUAGGCGGCUUUGUAAGUUAGAGGUGAAAGCCCGGAGCUCAACUCCGGAACUGCCUUUAAGACUGCAUCGCUUGAAUCCAGGAGAGGUGAGUGGAAUUCCGAGUGUAGAGGUGAAAUUCGUAGAUAUUCGGAAGGACACCGGUGGCGAAGGCGGAUCUCUGGGCCUUACCUGACGCUGAGGCGCGAAAGCUAGGGGAGCAAACAGG